AAAGUCUAACCUGCCCACUGAAUAAUUUUUAAAUGGCUGCAGUAAUUUGACUGUACAAAGGUAGCAUAAUCAUUAGUUUUUUAAUUAAAAGCUUGUAUGAAGGGUUGGACGAAGUAAAUUCUGUCUCUUUUUAAUAUUAUUAGAAUUUAAUUUUUAAGUUAAAAAGCUUAAAUAGAAGUAAAAGACGAGAAGACCCUAUAGAGUUUAAUAAUUUUAUUAGAAUAUUUAAUUUAGAUUAAUUAAUUUUAUUUUAAUAAAAUUAUUUUGUUGGGGUAAUGAAAAGAUUAAAAAAAUUCUUUUUUUUUAUUACAUAAAUUUAUGAAAAUAUGAUCCAUUUUUUAUGAUUAUAAGAUUAAAUUACCUUAGGGAUAACAGCGUAAUUUUUUUAAAGAGUUCAUAUCGAUAAAAAAGUUUGCGACCUCGAUGUUGGAUUAAAGAUUAGUUUAGGUGUAGAAGUUUAAAUUUUUGGUCUGUUCGACCAUUAAAUCUUUACAUGAUCUGAGUUCAAACCGGUGUAAGCCAGGUUGGUUUCUAUCUUUAUAAAAUUUUAAUAUUUUAGUACGAAAGGACCAGAUAUUAAAUAUAUUAAUAUUUUAUUUUGAAUAUUAUUAAAUUUAUUAUUUUGGCAGAUUAGUGUAAUGAAUUUAGAAUUCAUUCAAGUAAAUAUUUUACAAAUAAUACUUGUUUUUAAAAGAUAAAAUUGUUUGUUUAAUUUUUAUUAUUUUAUUGAUUAUUUGUGUUUUGGUAGGAGUAGCUUUUUUAACUUUAUUAGAACGAAAGGUUU
rnacentral:rRNA from 1 species